rnacentral:rRNA from 1 species
GAUGAACGCUGGCGGCGUGCCUAAUACAUGCAAGUCGAGCGAACAGAUGAGGAGCUUGCUCCUCUGACGUUAGCGGCGGACGGGUGAGUAACACGUGGAUAACCUACCUAUAAGACUGGGAUAACUUCGGGAAACCGGAGCUAAUACCGGAUAAUAUAUUGAACCGCAUGGUUCAAUAGUGAAAGACGGUUUUGCUGUCACUUAUAGAUGGAUCCGCGCCGCAUUAGCUAGUUGGUAAGGUAACGGCUUACCAAGGCAACGAUGCAUAGCCGACCUGAGAGGGUGAGCGGCCACAGUAGCACUGACACGCCGCCGAGACCCAUGCGAGGGGCAAGAGUAGGAGAUCGUCCGAAAGGGGCGAAAGUCUCACAGCGCCACGCCGCGUGAGAGAAAAAUGUCUUGGUAGCGAAAAACUCUUUUAUGGGAGAAACACAAAUGUGUAAGUAACUACACACGUCUACGGUACCGAUAAACAAAGCGCCGGCGAACUCCGCG